GGGCCCGUAGCUCAAUUGGGAGAGCGCCACAAUGGCAUUGUGGAGGCCAAGGGUUCGAACCCCUUCGGGUCCA
rnacentral:tRNA from 1 species